UACGGGGGGGGUAAGCGUUGUUCGGAAUUACUGGGCGUAAAGGGUGCGCAGGCGGCCGAGUGUGUGAGGCGUGAAAGCCCGGGGCUUAACCCCGGAAUUGCACCUCAAACUACACGGCUAGAGCAUUGGAGAGGGUAGCAGAAUUCAUGGUGUAGCAGUGAAAUGCGUAGAUAUCAUGAGGAAUACCAGUGGCGAAGGCGACUACCUGGCCCAUUCUUGACGCUGAGGCGCGAAAGCUAGGGGAGCGAACGGG
rnacentral:rRNA from 1 species